CUUUGCCAAUAUAGAGAAAAUAGUACUGAGUAAUAAAUAGUUAUAAGUUAUUAGCUUCCGACAUGACGCCACUGUUUACAAACACAGGCACCGGAAGUGAGACUGGCAAAAACAAGAUUACGGAAAGAGUGGCCAGAGAGAGAAGGAGAGAGUGAGAGAGAGAAAGAGAGAGAGUGACGUGCGCAUGUAUCAGUCGGACUAGUAGACAGCAAAAUCUCUACAAUUUAGCCAGACACCUUCACUGCUUUAUUGUGUUUUACAGUGUAUGUCUUAGGGGCAAAGAAGAACAUUUUUAAAGACCUAAAGACCUGCAGAAAGGUCGCUAUGAGUUUGUGAAAUUCAAAAUCUGAGCUCAGAAACCCUUCUUAACCUCCAGAGCUUCACCCUUCAGUGAUCAGAAAGCCUCCCUGUGACUCAGCUGUUCCCAGAAUUAGGCAACUCUAAAACAACACUACUAAGCAGAGGUGUGCUGAAAAACUGCCUCUCUUACAGUUUUGGGCAUGAAAGCAAGGACGUACCAACCUUUUAACUUUAGAAGGAAUUGAUAUAAAAUUUCUGGCUUUUUGACGCAAGUGAUUGUUUUUAAGAGACUGCCACAGGUAGAAAUCAGAUACGAGGGAGCUUCAGAAAUCCCUCAAGUGCUAAAACUCAGGAAUAUGAAGUAAGCAAAAAUACAAUUUUGGGAAAAAAACUAAGUCACUGCCAGAUUUUUUUAUUUAUAUUUAUCAGCAACCG